rnacentral:lncRNA from 1 species
UUAAAAUCAAUCUAGGCUUGGCUUCAGUGGAACCAAUAAUGGAUACUUUUAGUGUUACCUUUUUGGAGUUAGUCAGUAAGAGGACUGAGCUAAAAUUGACGGUGGUGGUGAUGGUGUUAAGAUUUUCUCUUAAGAUAUCGUUCGGAAGUUGAAAUUCAAAUAAAGUUAUUUGAUUGGAACUUUCUUCGAUAUUUGAGGUGUAAAUGCAUGUUUGAACUGAUCUGAAUAAGUAAUUUGAUUUAUAGUACCAUUUUGUAUUCGCAGUUUCUUGUUAAGAUGUGAAAUAUAAGAUAAUCAUAAUGGUGAUGAUUGAGAAGGUUUUGCUUAAUGCUAUUAAGAAAUUGAGGUCAAAUGCAUCUAUCAUAUUGGAAUUUUUUCCCCACAUUUAAGGUAUAAACGCAUGUCAAAUUUUCUGAAUUUGACAAUUGAAACUUUGGCAUUAACAUGUUGCAUGGACUAAACUGAGCAUCUAAUAACAGCAUAUGUGCCAGAUUUUGGACUGGUGUUGACUCAAAUAAUUUUAUCUAUGCUUGGAUGACACAACACUAGGUUUGUUUUCUUUAAAAAUGAAUGCUUGAUGUUGUACGGAAUAGAUGGAAAUCUUGCCUUGUAUUAUGAGAUGAUAAAGGUUAAAGAAAUAACCAAUUCUAGAAGGUUGAUGUAGAGAAGAUGCCUUUUAUCAUAAAAAAACUGUUUUUGAAGGUUUGUGAUGAAUAGUUAACAGGACUAGAACCAUGCAAGGAUUAUUCUGGUGCUUGUUGACGAUAAAAGGGAACUGUUACAGGACUAGACAGUCUGGUUGUGGAUAGAAGAGGGCACAACUUUUGAGUAAAAUUUCAGAAAUAUAUUACUUGAUGCAAUUGAGGCCAAAAUAUGUAAUUUUCCCCUGGAGCA